UAUGAGGAAAAUUAUAGAUUGUCCUCUAUAGGAGACAGAAUAUAUCACAUUUUAAAAUAUGGUAUCACAUUUCAAAGUACUUAAUGUCUUUUCAUCUUGACAAAGCUGAGGGAAAAUCUCUAUACAACCUAUUGCAUUUUUCAUAAAAUUUACUUGCCAGGAGCAAAUUAAGACACUGACUUUAAAUAGCAAGUUUGAAGAGAUCCUAUGCUUUUCUUCACAGCUUAACCUCAUUAAUACAUCUCAUUCUAAAUAUAUAUUGUCAUCAAGGAUGAGGCACUUAUUUGCAUAUGUUACUGUUCUUUUGUGUCAUCCUAAUGUCAGGUAAAAUAAAACAAUGGAUAUUAGAUCUGGCCCUACCCAGGUAAAGACACAUUCAAAAUCUCUGCUAAAUAUUUGUAACAGUAUUAUCAGAACAGAUUUCCAUGUGAAUCAGGUAUCAAAACAAUUUACAAACAAAAGGUCCAGUUUUUAUCCUGUCUUCUAAACCUUAUGGCUGCAGGACAAUGAGGAUGGGGCAGAAUGUCUGUAAUGAGACAACUACAGUGAAGUUGGGAUAAUAAUGCAUUGUAUCAUUGUGUGAUUUGAGUGUGAAGUGCCAUGAGAAAGCUUAGCACUGAUCCUAUCUCAGCAAAUACCCAGUACUCCUUUCUGCAGUGAGUACAUGGUUGAGGUUAGAAACUCAUAAUGCAUAGUAAACUCUUAGCACAGCAGACUGUUUAAAGUUAAGGAUCCAAUAUUAAUGUCUUGGUGGAGACAGAAAUCUAAUAUUUCCUCAUUUAUUCUUAUUUACAUCAGCAAAUUUAAGAAAUAUGGUUUUCAUAUUUUCAUAUUUCAAUGUAGUCAUACUUCUGUAUAUCCACUUUCUAUGGAAAUAGCAAAUUAAGCUUUCUGAGGACUGUGGAUGUCUGUAGGUCUGUUUUUUUCACUAGAAGCAUAAGAUUGAUUAUUUUCUUUUUAGUUCUGUGAGUCAACCAUAAAAUAGUUAAUUCACAAAUAAUAUGGCUAAGUCUACUAUAAUUGUUUGGUAACAAGUUGAAGCAAUUAAAAUGUCCUCACCACUUCAAUAUUGAUUAACUUUCUACUUUUUCCUUAGCUUUGAUCACAACAUUAUCUUUGAUUUCAAGACUGAAAUGUUUCCUGAAGAAAAUUCCCUGGAGACCCCAAGGCCAAUGAAGAGAGAGUGACAAUUAACAGUGAUUCUUAAAAAUCCACUGGGAAUUUGAAAUCACUGGAGGACAAGCAUCAUGAAGAAAAGGGGAAUCCCUCUGAGGACAUAAAGUUGAACCAGGAAUAGGUAGCAGGAGGAUUCACAAGAAAGAAGGUAGACAUCCUCCCUGAAAUUCAUGAAUUGGACUUUCUACAUAGCCAGUGCAAAGCAUAUGGACCAUUUUGAGGGGUAUACUGAUUGGUGAGCAUUUGCCAGUACUCAAAAAUCCUAUCUGGACACCAUACCACCAUAUGAGAGAAGCUUAUGAGGCCUGGCAGCUCUCUGGGCCUGGAAGAAGACCACGACGCUCUAAGUGCUUUAGAGGAAUGGGUUUGCCAAAAUAAAUAUGAGAGGCCCAGGGAGGAGGCUGGGCCAAUGCUGAAGGUAAAGAUCCAGUUCACAGUUCCAGCUAAACUUGACCUUACCCAUAGUUUUAAUAAAAUAAAGUAACAACUAUUUCUCCUAAGUAAGAAGCAAUUAUACUGUUGGCCUAGAGAAUAGUGGGCUAUUUUUCCUUUUGAAUUCAGGUUUCCUUUUCUUUUUUUCUUUUUUGCUUUAUCUUUCUUACCUCGAAGUAGCACCAGAACAGAUGCAUUCAGUUUUCUGUUCAUGCAUUCUCCAGGGAGAGUCGGGGGGAAAUUUUUACUUUUGU